CCAGCACAAGUCUGAAUGCUUCAGCCAAAUCAGUGUAACACAAAGCAAAAACACAUCACUCUACAACCCCAAGAAAAACAGAAAGGAUGAGACAAACUUCAAACAAAAUGCAGUAUCUAUAAUACAUGAAUGAUUCUGAAGCAUCCAGACAUUUCUGGAGGGGAAAUAAGGUCAACAAUUGCAGAGACCUGUCAUCUGUGUGAAAUACAUUGAUGUAAUAUGGACUCAAAAAAGAGAUGGCUCUGAUUAUACUUUUUAUUAAGCCUGCUAUUUUUGACUAGCAAGCUUUCAAGUUUCACAGAACUCUUCUUCAGAUAAAAGAUGGAUUACUGUUCAAGAGAGUUUGUUACAGCCUUAAGAGUCUGCUUUUCAUUACUCUUCCCAUACCAAAGAGCUUUGAUUUCACAUAAUUUUAUAUUAUAACAAGGAAACUACACAUUCAUUACUCUGAUUUAGGUCAUGCUAAUCAAACAUAAAGUGGCAACGUCAGGAUGGGAACAUCAACGAAUGAAUGCUGAUCAGGCUAGCAUUUCCUUUUAUUUUCAGCUGACCAAUGGGAAGGUACGAGGAUGCACAAAAUGGAAAAUCUCCUUGAGAUCUGAUUGUUGAUGAUAUAUAAAAAUAAUAAAGAAAUAGAAUAAAAACACAUCUAAGCAUAGUGGGAUAGCAUCCAGGAACUUAGUGAUAUCAGCAUAUGUAAGCAGGUGGAAUCAGUGUAAAGUUACCUUGAAUCCACUAGGACGAAUGGGAAUGCCACGGAGUGUGAGAAUGAACCAUUAUGCAUUCAAAAUAAACACACGUUCAUUGUACAUGGAUUGAAAACCCAUACAUCAGAAUGUCUGCACAAGACCAAAGAACAUGUGACGUUUAUUCAUUUAUUUAAUGCAUUUACAUUUAUUUGAAUCAUAUAUUUAAAUAAUUAUAUUUAAAUUAUUAAUUAAUUUAUAAAUCAAUAAAUUUAUAAAUUAAAUGUA